AGCGCAGGCGGUGUAUAAAGUCUGAUGUGAAAGUCCACGGCUCAACCGUGGGAUUGCAUUGGAAACUGAUACACUUGAGGAUAGAAGAGGAUAGUGGAAUUCCAUGUGUAGUGGUGAAAUACGUAGAUAUAUGGAGGAACACCAGUGGCGAAGGCGGCUAUCUGGUCUAUCACUGACGCUGAGGCUCGAAAGCAUGGGGAGCAAACA
rnacentral:rRNA from 1 species